UACGUAGGGGGCAAGCGUUGUCCGGAUUUAUUGGGCGUAAAGAGCGUGUAGGCGGUCAGGUAGGUCCGUUGUGAAAACUCGAGGCUCAACCUCGAGACGCCGAUGGAAACCAUCUGACUAGAGUCCGGAAGAGGAGAGUGGAAUUCCUGGUGUAGCGGUGAAAUGCGCAGACUAUCAGGAAGAACACCCGUGGCGAAGGCGGCUCUCUGGGACGGUAUUGACGCUGAGACGCGAAAGCGUGGGGAGCGAACAGG
rnacentral:rRNA from 1 species